GAUGAACGCUGGCGGCGUGCCUAAUACAUGCAAGUCGAGCGAACGGACGAGGAGCUUGCUUCUCUGAUGUUAGCGGCGGACGGGUGAGUAACACGUGGAUAACCUACCUAUAAGACUGGGAUAACUUCGGGAAACCGGAGCUAAUACCGGAUAAUAUUUUGAACCGCAUGGUUCAACAGUGAAAGACGGUCUUGCUGUAACUUAUAGAUGGAUCCGCGCUGCAUUAGCUAGUUGGUAAGGUAACGGCUUACCAAGGCAACGAUGCAUAGCCGACCUGAGAGCGUGAUCGGCCACACUGGAACUGAGACACGGCCCAGACUCCUACGGGAGGCAGCAGUAGGGAAUCUUCCGCAAUGGGCGAAAGCCUGACGGUGCAACGCCGCGUGAGUGAUGAUGGUCUUCGGAUCGUAAAGCUCUGUUAUUAGGGAAGAACAUAUGUGUAAGUAACUGUGCACAUCUUGACGGUACCUAAUCAGAAAGCCCCGGCUAACUACGUG
rnacentral:rRNA from 1 species